AUUGAACGCUGGCGGCAUGCCUUACGCAUGCAAGUCGAACGGCAGCACGGGUGCUUGCACCUGGUGGCGAGUGGCGAACGGGUGAGUAAUACAUCGGAACAUGUCCUGUAGUGGGGGAUAGCCCGGCGAAAGCCGGAUUAAUACCGCAUACGAUCUACGGAUGAAAGCGGGGGACCUUCGGGCCUCGCGCUAUAGGGUUGGCCGAUAGCUGAUUAGCUAGUUGGUGGGGUAAAGGCCUACCAAGGCGACGAUCAGUAGCUGGUCUGAGAGGACGACCAGCCACACUGGGACUGAGACACGGCCCAGACUCCUACGGGAGGCAGCAGUGGGGAAUUUUGGACAAUGGGCGAAAGCCUGAUCCAGCAAUGCCGCGUGUGUGAAGAAGGCCUUCGGGUUGUAAAGCACUUUUGUCCGGAAAGAAAUCCUUGGCUCUAAUACAGUCGGGGGAUGACGGUACCGGAAGAAUAAGCACCGGCUAACUACGUG
rnacentral:rRNA from 1 species